UCCAGGUUACCCGCCGUGCCACUUAGGGCGG
rnacentral:sRNA from 1 species